UAACAUUUGCGGUGAAAUGCACUAUCGAACUAUUUAUAGGUCAAUAUGUGUGUGAGAAGGUUGGAUAAAAACCACUUUGUUAAGCCGGGGCAAUGUUUUCUGAACGACCGCAGUUCAAAGUUGCUCCGGUUUCACAAU
rnacentral:sRNA from 17 species